rnacentral:misc_RNA from 1 species
CGCGAAAUUGAGAGAUACAGAUGUGAAAUCCUAAUUUCUUUUAUGAUGAGGUGAAAAUUGAUGUUUGCUGCUGAAUCAUAAUAUGAAUAAGUUAUUGGAUUUUGGAAGGAAAGCCCUUUUCUAUGUGAGGGUUCUUUCUGGGUAUGAGGAGCGUAGAAUCCGAAAUUAUAGAUUACAGCUCGAGAGGCGUCUCCAACAGGCACAAGAAAGAAAGGCAGCUUUGAGAAAGAUCCCUGAGCAGGCUAUAUUAUCAGA